rnacentral:lncRNA from 1 species
CACAUACUAUUUUAUUUAGCCUUAUAUUAUCUGUGUAACUUCAAUGUAAAUUCUGUCCUCCUUCAUUAAUUUUAAUUUACUGGGUGGUCAGAGUAUUUGCAGAUGGCUCCUUAAAUUUUAACUUUAUCUUAUUUAUUAUGUUUAAUUGGAUAUUAUGUUAACUGCAUGGAAGUUGUGUAACCUUUGAACUUUAAACUUCCUAGCAUCUCUAGAAAUGCAAUUGUUAUUUAUUAAAUAAUGAAAUAAAUGUUUUAGCUUCAUCAGGUUCUGUUUUCAGGCAAAGAGUAAGUGACCUAAAUUUCUGGCCUUUUACUUUAGGGGUCCCAACCCAUAAAGAGCUAUACUAAACUAUUCUUAACCCCGCAAACCUUACCCUCACCCAUACUUAAUCCUAACACUAGCCAUAACUCUAAAACCUAACCCUAACCUAAAACAUCCCCUAACCUAACUAUAAC